CCAGGUGCAGAGCACUCGUUAGGCGUUCUCCUCCGCUCGCUCCUCUAUAAAUUUCCCUCUCCUGUCUCUUUUUCUCUCGUUCUCGUCGCCAGCCUCAUCUCAAAAUCCCUAGAAACUAGAGGGUGAAGAGAGAGUGUGAAGAACUGCUCUUUCUCGUGGUGUCUUGGGCGGCCAUGGCUCCGAGAGGAAGGUCGAGGAAGGUAGGACUGAGGCGGAUAGACGCCGCCAUCGAUGCCCUAACCCCGUUAGGCUUCUCCCGCGAAAUCGUAUGCAAAACCGUCAAUGAUCUUCUGAAGGUCUAUGAGGGAGAUGAAGGAUGGGUAUUUCUUGAGGAAGCUUCAUACAAGAUGGUCAUCGAAACCAUCCUCAACAACCAAGAGGAAGAGGAAGCGCAGGCGGGGAGGGAGGAACAUAAAGUGAAAAAUGAGGAAAGAACUGCAGAAUAUUAUGAGGCUGGUGAAACAGUUCCUCAUCAUGAUGUGCUGUCAAACACACCUCAAUUUGGGGGGGAUAUUGAUUGGAAGGAUAUUUCUUGUGUGGACGGAUUAGGGCAUAUCUUGGACGGUCAAAGUCAACCUACUUUGACUUCACAUGAAAUAGACCAACCCAGUGGUCGUCCCAGGCAAAGGCGUCCAUGUUUUGGCUGGUUAAGUGAAAGUGAGGAGGAAAAUGAAGCGGAGGAGCCUGAGGGUGAAGAUCAAUCAGGGGAGCCUCCAAUUAAUUCUUCUAUUGUUUAUCUGGAUCAGGAAAUGUUUGAAUUUGCUGGGAGCCUGCAUCAUGAGAUGAAGAGGGAGCCUCCACGUAACGCAUCUUUAAUUUAUCAGAAGCAGGAAGGGGUUGACUUUUCUGGAAGUCCACAUCAUGAAGUGAAGCAGGAGUCUCCAAGUAAUGCUUCUAUCAUUUAUCAAGAAAAAGAAUCGGUUGGAUUUGCUGGAAGUCUGUAUUGUGAAAUUAAACAGGAGCAGGAAGAAGUUGAAUUUGCUGGAAGCCUGCAUCGUGGAAGGAAGAGGAGAAGUGGAUGGGAUGUCAAACAUUCUGAUAUGUAAAAGGCUAUGAGUUCAAGUCUUGGGUGGUGCAUCCCCAAGAUUUUGGAAUCUGGCUAAUUACAAUACCAGCUGGUUCUUUUGUUCUUUAAAUAAAACAAGACAUUAAAAGCAUAGAUGGCAAGAUGGACAUGGAAUCAACUUAAGCCGAGAUACAACCACUGACAUAAGACACCAAGGCUACCCAGAAUCUUAUAUCUUGUUCACAAAAGCAGCCUCCGCAAGAUCAAUAGCUCCAGCAAGAGCUGCAGCCUUGUUUUCACAUUCUCGCUGCCCAUCAUCUGGAAUGCUGUCAGCCACGAUGGCAGCUCCAGCCUGGAGGUGCGCCUCCCAUUCCUGGUGCAUGCCCUUAUCCUUGUAUGGAGACAUUGUGUUGUAACGACUUCCAGUCGGGGAAGACGAUAGUUCGCAGAGCAAGCGCAAUGUCCAUGUCACCAGAAAAUGACACGCUGCCAAAACCACCACCAUGGGGACCUCGCCUCUUGACCUCCAACCGAUCAAUUAACUCCAUGGCCCUGACCUGAUUCAACAUGG